CAGAGAUUCACAAGACAAGUUUCUAGGUCCAGAGGCUUAUAGCUCUAAGCCUUGGAUGAAAGAGGCUUAUGGCUUCAAGCUUUCGGAGCUGGAGACUUACUGCUCUUCGUGGUCAA
rnacentral:pre_miRNA from 7 species